rnacentral:rRNA from 1 species
AGAGUUUGAUCCUGGCUCAGGAUGAACGCUGGCGGCGUGCCUAAUACAUGCAAGUCGAGCGGCAGCACGGUCUUCGGACUGGUGGCGAGCGGCGGACGGCUGAGUAACGCGUAGGAAUAUACCCCAAAGUGAGGGAUAACUGCCCGAAAGGGUGGCUAAUACCGCAUGUGGUCUUCGGACUAAAGCCUUCGGGCGCUUUGGGAAUAGCCUGCGUAAGAUUAGCUAGUUGGUGAGGUAAUGGCUCACCAAGGCGACGAUCUUUAGCUGGUCUGAGAGGAUGACCAGCCAGACUGGAACUGAGACACGGUCCAGACUCCUACGGGAGGCAGCAGUAGGGAAUUUCCACAAUGGGCGAAAGCCUGAUGGAGCAACGCCGCGUGCAGGAUGAAGGCCCUCGGGUCGUAAACUGCUUUUAUGUGCGAAGAAUAUGACGGUAACACAUGAAUAAGGGUCGGCUAACUACGUG